UGAGUUUGAUCAUGGCUCAGGACGAACGCGGCGGCGUGCUUAACACAUGCAAGUCGAACGAUGAAGCCCAGCUUGCUGGGUGGAUUAGUGGCGAACGGGUGAGUAACACGUGAGUAACCUGCCCUUCACUUGGGAUAAUCCGGGAAACCGGUGCUAAUACGGAUAUGACUACUUCCCGCAUGGGAUGGUGGUGGAAAGUUUUUUGGUGGGGGAUGGACUCGCGGCCUAUCAGCUUGUUGGUGGGGUAAUGGCCUACCAAGGCGACGACGGGUAGCCGGCCUGAGAGGGCGACCGGCCACACUGGGAUAUGAGACACGGCCCAGACUCCUACGGGAGGCAGCAGUGGGGAAUAUUGCACAAUGGGCGAAAGCCUGAUGCAGCGACGCCGCGUGAGGGAUGACGGCCUUCGGGUUGUAAACCUCUUUCAGUAGGGACGAAGC
rnacentral:rRNA from 1 species